UUACUCAAUUUUGAUCCUACAGAAACAAUUGUCACAUUAAUUAAUGUGUUUUCGAACUCUCUCCUUCAUUUGUCUCAAGGAUAAGAUUCUAAUAAAUUUUCAAUCUCUCGGCCAGGAGAUUACUUUUUGCUUCUUUUUUAAUUUUGUCAAACUGCAAUUGAUUUACACCAAUUGCUACAACCAGUACUUACCAAGAAGUAUUUCUGAACUACGGUGCAAGAUCUUUUUUUUAGGAACCACUAAGCCAAAGCUUAGUGUGAUAUAUUUUAUAUAUAGUAAAUAAAGACAAAAGUCUAAAAGUUCAGACACCAAAAAAAGGAAAGCAACAAAAAAUAUGUGAAACCGACAACCCUAAAUCUCUACUACUUCAGCCCUCUUCAAUCGAUCUUCAUUUAUAAACCAAGAUCCGUCCCCAUCGAUGAAGAACAAUACGAUUUCCAGCUUGUCAAGUUCCAAUGUUAUCAAAAAUCAGCUACUUCAGCUCCUCUUCAAUCGAUCUUCAAUUAUACACCAAGAUCCGUCCCCAUCGAUGAAGAACAAUACGAUUUCCAGCUUGUCAAGAUCAAAUGUUAUCAAAAAUCAGCUACUUCUGCUCCUCUUCAAUCGAUCUUCAAUUAUACACCAAGAUCUGUCCCCAUCGAUGAAGAACAAUACGAUUUCCAGCUUGUCAAGAUCCAAUGUUUUCAAAAAUCAGCCCAAGUCGACGAAGGAUUUCAUCUCUCUCACACCAAAAAAGGAAAUGCUGUUGGUCAUCAUUUGCUGCUAUGUUCUCUUCUACAUGCCCUAGAACUGCUACAGAUGCAACCUGUUUGCUAGUUAUCCCUUCAUUUCUUGAGGAGAUUGGACUUGCUCUUCAUUUUGUGCUAAGUUAUCAUCUGGCAGCCCUGUGUCUAAUAAAGCAGCAAACUGAUUUCUUGUUUGCAAUGUAUUAUCUGAAGCAUUGCAUUUCUCCUCCUUACUUCUGCAAUCAGAUGUAUCACCAUUGGUAAGAAUUCUAUUAUAUUUUACAGCAUUCCAGUUUCCGGGAUUUCCUACCAUCCUUCCACUAGGCAACAUUCUGGCAAAGUUGUGAUACCCCCUGUACGGCUGUUUGUUUCCUCCAUUCUCCUUCACCUUUAUCUGUUAAUGUUUUUCCCUUCCCUUCUCAUCUUUAUUAGUCUCCUUCUCCUGUUGUUGUUUUCCAUCAAAAUACCUUUCAUUAUUGCUUCCAUUUAUUCUCUGUUUCAUUACGGUGCAAGAUCUUAUCUUAUUUUUGGCCUUUUUCCUUCUCGUUCACUAUUUGUAAGUCUUUAUAGAGAUCGUAAAAUGCCUAAAAAAUAUUUGAUUUCCCCACAUCAACUUGAAUGACAAAUUGACGAUUUUCUAUUUUCCAUUAAAGAAAUAUAUCUUUUAUUUUUUCUAUACUAGGGGAAUUAUAACAAUUUUUAAAGCCACCUGAUUAUUUUUAGAUUUAAAAAUAAGGUAAAUGAUUUUUUUAAUUCGGGAAAUAGGAGUUUGUCAACAAAAAAAGGAUAAAUGUUCUCUAUUUGUUAAACAGGAUGUUAUGUGUGAGCCUCUUUUUAAUGGAAUAUUAGCUCUAAAUCACAAUGUUGAGAGUAUAUUUGCCUCUUUUCUCUUCCUAUAAUUCCACAAGUAUAGAAAAAUAACUGAUACAUUACUUGAAUGAAAACUAGAAAAUAGUCAAUUUUUGAUCAAGUUGAUUUGGAAAACUCAAAUGUUUUUAGGCAUUUGAUGUUCUCUGUAAAGAUUCACAAAUAGUGAACAAGAAGGGGAAAAAAUCAAAAAUUAAGAUAUAAGAUCUUGCACCGUGGUUCAGAAAUACCUGCUGAUAAGCACAGGAUGUAGUAGUUGGUGGCACUCAAGCUGCAGUUGGAUAAAAUUAAUAAAGAAGUAAAAGAGUACAAGGGAGAUCUUCUUCUACCCCUCGUGGCUGAUAUUCAAGGAUUGUUGAUUCGAGUCUCUUCAAGGUGAGCAUGAGGACGUUCGCUGCCCAAAGAUUCUUCCUAUUAUUAUGUCUUUCUUUGCAAGCAGAGACAUGAUUUUGAGACUAUUUAUGUAUUAUUACUCAAAAUUGUAGUAUUUGAUUUAGAUGCUCUUGUAUGACCAGACCAGAUACUGGGGUGGAUUUCUUUUACUUUCGCACUUAUUUAUAUUAUAUUUGUGAGA